rnacentral:rRNA from 1 species
UACGGGGGGGGCAAGCGUUGUUCGGAAUUACUGGGCGUAAAGGGCUCGUAGGCGGCCAACUAAGUCAGACGUUAAAUCCCUCGGCUUAACCGGGGAACUGCGUCUGAUACUGGAUGGCUAGAGGUUGGGAGAGGGAUGCGGAAUUCCAGGUGUAGCGGCGAAAUGCGUAGAUAUCUGGAGGAACACCGGUGGCGAAGGCGGCAUCCUGGACCAAUUCUGACGCUGAUGAGCGAAAGCCAGGGGAGCAAACGGG